rnacentral:lncRNA from 1 species
AUGGGUAUGGGUCGAGAGCUCCUGAACUUGGCUCCUGUACUCUCCACAGGGCGUAAGGAUUAUCUGAGGAAGUGCAGUGGAGUGGUAGUAAUAGGGAGACCUCCUCGAAAGCUCAUCUCCACCAUUAUCCUGCCUGAGUAAUUAAGAAGGAGAAUGGCAUCUCACAAACACCCCCCUUACACACACACCUCCCCCACUAAUGGACCAGCCCUGCUCUGCAUGAUGGACGGGCGGCUGUCACAUCAACCUGGAGACAUUGGGGGGAAGGCGGGUAGGUGGUCAUAACAGCACCUCUAAUCACAUAAAACCAAACAUGUGUGAUUACAUGCGCUUCAAAUCACAGACAGGCUACAAGAUCUGCCACAAAGUCUUUAUGAAGGUGAAAACGUCAGCGCCACAUUAAUUUUCUCCUGACUGAAGUAAAAAAAAACAACCUAAAGCUAGAAUCCAAUUCAAACCCCCCAAAUAACACAUGUAUUUUGAUUGAAAAACAGAAACAAAGAAAGUCCAAGUGCAACCAUCGUCAGCAUGGAAUGGAUAGACUUUUCCAGACAAAGAGAACUGUGUACAUGUGAAUUUCUGAAAUGAUACAAUUAAAACACCCCUUAAAUUGUUGAUUGACAGUAUUUUAAUCAAAUCUGGAUCAUUUUUUACAGUCCCUGAACUUGUUAAUGCUGUUUAAAUCUAGGCCACCAAAAAAGAAUAAAAAGAUCUUAUUGAACCUGUUCA